UCACUUUCACCUUCACACUGACAAGAGGCUUUUCAGAAAUUCCAUCACAAUCCACAGUGGAUUCUUCACUCUGUGAGCAUUCGUCAGCUAAGUGUAUGGCAGUGGAAGUUUCCCCUAAUGGGAAACAAUUACACACUUGGUGGCUUCUCCAGUGACUUCUGAUGAGACUCGUUCACCGAGGAAAUGGCCACAUAAUCAUGUGUGUGUAAUGGGCUAACGCUGCUCAUUGCUCACUGGGCCAGGCUUGCAGACGGAACCGUCGCAGUUUAAGUCCACUCCAUGUGCGUUUGAUGAGAAAUGUGAAAUUAUUCCCAAAAAUGUGGACGCACCUGGGUUGUAAACAAAUAGCUGUGUUCUCGCCAAAAUCAGCAACUAAGGUAAUGACCACUGUAUGCUGGGAAGAACUGGUACAAGUGUGAGUCAUUCAAUUCAAACUUUUUCAUAUCUGUCAUAUCUGAGGACUGGAUGGAUGACAAAAGAAAUAUAUCAACCGUAUUAAAAAAAAAAAAAAUACAGUGGGACCUAGAAAUAUGAGUUUAAUUUGUUCCGUGUCAAUGCGCUUCACUCAAAACACUUAUCUCAAAUCAUCUUUUCCCAUUGAAAUGAUUGGAAAUGCUUUAAUCUGUUCCAGCCUCACCACACACACCCCUCCCCGCCCACACAAAAAGUUUUUCUUUAUUAAGGAAAAAUAGCACUCUAUAAUAUUGUACUUUAUAAAACAAAGUGUGAUAAAAUCAAUUUAAUUUAAAGCAUUAAACAGUUUAUGCUUCAUGUUUCAUCCAUCAGUAUGUGCCCAUCUUGGCCACCAGGAGGCACUAUUGUAUAGUACAGUCUUGCAGACAAACGAAGAAGAAUAGCCUUCUUCUUCUUCUUCUUCUUCUUCUUCUUCUUCAUCUUCUUCUUCUUCUGUUUUACCACUCAGUAAGUUGCUAUAUUAUUAGUCUUUUUUUUUUGUCAAGGAUGAAAAAUAUAUGCCUGGUAUAGUCUGCUGUUCACCUAAAGUCAGAUGGGAUAGGCUCCAGCCCCCUGUGUCCCAGAACAAGAGGAGCAGUAUAGAAAAAUUGCUAGCUGGAAAGUCUGUUGAUUUUCUAUUCAAACCGAAAUGGUGGAACAGAUUCGUCGUUUUACCUUAACCUUGCGUGGCCGACAGAACUCUGCUGCACUUUCUUCUCUCGGCAUGACUCACUAAAGUGACUGAGGCUGAGCUCCCGGGCCGCUGCAGGAUGUGCCAGGUGCCGCCCGCAAUGCGUCGCGCCACCAGUUUAAUGUCAUGUAUUAUUAUAGAUAUAAUUACUAAGUUUAAAAAGUGGAUCAAGAAAAAUACAAUAGAUGUUUGAUAUUUAUUAAACAUUAUUUAGCAUCUGUCUAUAAACAGGUUUUUCACAAAUCUGUUUGGAUGGCGUGUGUAUCCCUACACCGACCUGUAUUUUCACAAGUGCUCUGAAUGAGUCUGACUCACAGAUGUUCAACGACAUCAUGUCCUCCACAACAUACGUACCUGGCUGCAAGUUUAUUGUUGAACAAAACAUGCAGGGCUGGAAAAUCAAUUUUCAUCUGUUUUGGUGACGACGCACUUGUCUUUGUCUGCUUCGGCAUUAAGGGCCGGUGAACUUUGUUUCAUCAGGCUGAAUCGACUGACAUGAGGAAGCAUCU